rnacentral:rRNA from 1 species
AUUGAACGCUGGCGGCAGGCCUAACACAUGCAAGUCGAGCGAGCGGCGGACGGGUGGGUAAUGUAUGGGGACUGCCCGAUAGAGGGGGAUAACUAAUGGAAACGGUGGCUAAUACCGCAUACUAUCGGAUAACCCAUAUGGGAUUGGCUAGUAGGGGGGGUAAAGGCUCACCUAGGCGACGAGCCCUAGCGGGUCUGAGAGGAUGAGCAUCCACACUGGGACGUAGACACGGCCCAUACUACUACGGAGGCAGCAGUGGGGAAUAUUGCACAAUGGGCGCAAGCCUGAUGAAGCCAUGCCGCGGGUGUGAAGAAGGCCUUAGGGUUGUAAAGUACGUUCAGCGGUGAGGCGUUACCCGCAGAAGAAGCACCGGCUAACUCCGUGCCAGCAGCCGCGGUAAUAC